UCGGGACUGAAAUGAUUAGAAUUUAACGACCUUUACGAGGAACAAUUGGAGGGCAAGUCUGGUGCCAGCAGCCGCGGUAAUUCCAGCUCCAAUAGCGUAUAUUAAAGUUGUUGCAGUUAAAAAGCUCGUAGUUGGAUUUCUGGCCGAGUGUCCCCAGGCCAGCAUGACGUUUGGUCCCGGGCGCUCCGCCAUCCUUCUGUCAACCUUCGCCUCGUUCGUUCGUGGCGUUGGGGCUCAGAUAUUUUACCUUGAGAAAAUUAGAGUGUUUCAGGCAGGCUUUCGCCGGAAUACAUUAGCAUGGAAUAAUGGAAAAGGACUUCAACCUCUUCUGUUGGUCUGAGAGGCUGUAGUAAUGAUUAAUAGGGAUAGUUGGGGGCAUUAGUACUUAACUGUCAGAGGUGAAAUUCUCCGAUUUGUUAAAGACUAACUUAUGCGAAAGCAUUUGCCAAGGAUGUUUUCAUUAAUCAAGAACGAAAGUUAGGGGAUCAAAGACGAUCAGAUACCGUCCUAGUCUUAACCAUAAACUAUGCCGACUCGGGAUCGGGGGCACGCAAUAUCGGCCUUCGGCACCGUAUGAGAAAUCAAAGUCU
rnacentral:rRNA from 1 species